CCUACGGGAGGCAGCAGUGAGGAAUAUUGGUCAAUGGGCGAUGGCCUGAACCAGCCAAGUAGCGUGAAGGAUGACUGCCCUAUGGGUUGUAAACUUCUUUUAUAAAGGAAUAAAGUCGGGUAUGCAUACCCGUUUGCAUGUACUUUAUGAAUAAGGAUCGGCUAACUCCGUGCCAGCAGCCGCGGUAAUACGGAGGAUCCGAGCGUUAUCCGGAUUUAUUGGGUUUAAAGGGAGCGUAGAUGGAUGUUUAAGUCAGUUGUGAAAGUUUGCGGCUCAACCGUAAAAUUGCAGUUGAUACUGGCAGUCUUGAGUGCAGUAGAGGUGGGCGGAAUUCGUGGUGUAGCGGUGAAAUGCUUAGAUAUCACGAAGAACUCCGAUUGCGAAGGCAGCUCACUGGAGUGUAACUGACGCUGAUGCUCGAAAG
rnacentral:rRNA from 1 species